GACGAACGCUGGCGGCGUGCUUAACACAUGCAAGUCGAACGGAAAGGCCCUGCUUGCAGGGUACUCGAGUGGCGAACGGGUGAGUAACACGUGGGUGAUCUGCCCUGCACUUCGGGAUAAGCCUGGGAAACUGGGUCUAAUACCGGAUAGGAGCCAUUUUUAGUGUGAUGGUUGGAAAGUUUUUUCGGUGUUGGAUGAGCUCGCGGCCUAUCAGCUUGUUGGGGGGGUAAUGGCCUACAAAGGCGGCGACGGGUAGCCGGACUGUGAGGGUGAACGGCCACAUUGGGACUUAGGGGCGGCCCAAGCGCCGACGGGAGGCAGAAGGGGGGAAGAUUGCACAAGGGGCGCAAGCCGGAUGCAGCGAGGCCGCGUGGGGGAUGACGGCCUUCGGGUUGAAAACUCCUUUCGCGAGGGACGAAGCUUUUUGUGACGGUACCUAGAUAAGAAGCACCGGCUAACUACGUG
rnacentral:rRNA from 1 species